UCACACCUUGGCCAAUGGCCAUAUAGAAGGAGUUACUAUCCUUGUAAACUCAGUCAGCUCAUCAUUUCACAGCAAACGAGGAGGUGUAACUGGAGCGGCUGUUGAGUUGAAUGGAGUUCAACAGACCCAAAGGGCCUGUAGAUGGAGCGGGAGUGGUCCUGAGCCCGCUGGAUGAGAUCCAGCCUGGGAGGAGUGAAUGGGUGCUUGCAGAGCAUGGAGGGUUAGGAGGGCUGUCUGCAACAGACACCACUAACGCAGCCAAGACAGAGCCCAAAGACCCUGCAGGAGGAUCUGGAAAGCCUACACCGGCCAAACCUGGAUGACGCUGGGGCAAAUGUGCGCCGCCUUAUGGGACUCCCAAUCACGGCCAGUUGUGAUACAGCCUGGAAUCAAACCAGGGAUUCCAGUUCAUCCUCCUCCUCCUCUGACAGCAGCUCUUCAGACAGUGAAGAAGAGGAAGAAGGAAAAGAGAAGACGCUGGGGAUAUCAUAGUACACGGUGUAGCCUUCAUAUCUGAGUCUGGUGAGUGACGCCUGUGUUUAUUUUUGAUUUAUUUCACCUUUUAUUUAACUAGGCAAGACAGUUAAGAACAAAUUCUUAUUUUCAAUGAUGGCCUAGAGAACAGUGGGUUAACUGCCUUGUUCAGGGGCAGAACGACAGAUUUUUACCUUGUCAGCUUGGGGAUUCGAAGUCCAACGCUCUAACCACUAGGUUACCUGCCGCCCCAUGUGUGUUCGUGAUGGUGUACUGAAAACCACGCACUGUAGUAAAUGACUGUCUUUAUAUACAAAUGACCCACCUUGUAACCAGUGGUGGAAAAAGUACUAAAUUCUCAUACUUGAGUAAAAGUCAAGAUACCUUAACAGAAAAUGACUCAAGUAAAAUUCCCCCAGUAAAAUACUACU